rnacentral:tRNA from 1 species
GGAGAGGUGACCGAGCGGCCGAAGGUAGCUGCCUGCUAAGCAGUUGAGGGCGAAAGCCCUCCGCGGGUUCGAAUCCCGCCCUCUCCGCCA